GAUGAACGCUAGCUACAGGCUUAACACAUGCAAGUCGAGGGGCAGCAUUUUAGUUUGCUUGCAAACUAAAGAUGGCGACCGGCGCACGGGUGAGUAACACGUAUCCAACCUGCCGAUAACUCGGGGAUAGCCUUUCGAAAGAAAGAUUAAUAUCCGAUAGUAUAUUAAAACCGCAUGGUUUUACUAUUAAAGAAUUUCGGUUAUCGAUGGGGAUGCGUUCCAUUAGUUUGUUGGCGGGGUAACGGCCCACCAAGACUACGAUGGAUAGGGGUUCUGAGAGGAAGGUCCCCCACAUUGGAACUGAGACACGGUCCAAACUCCUACGGGAGGCAGCAGUGAGGAAUAUUGGUCAAUGGACGAGAGUCUGAACCAGCCAUGCCGCGUGCAGGAAGACGGCUCUAUGAGUUGUAAAACUGCUUUUUGUACUAGGGUAAACGCUUCUACGUGUAGGAGCCUGAAAGUAUAGUACGAAUAAGGAUCGGCUAACUCCGUGCCAAGCAGCCGCAGUAAC
rnacentral:rRNA from 1 species